rnacentral:lncRNA from 1 species
GUUAAAUAGUAUUCAUUUAGAAGGUUAAAGAGUUUCUGGUGAUAAUCUCCAGGGAUUUCACAGGGAAGUGCAUGGUCAGUACAGGUGAACAGCACAGAUAGUAAGUGCCUUUUUGAGAAAAGGAAUGGGUAGUUGAGGAAGGUUCCAAAAAAGACGUGGGCCUUGAUAGAUAGGGUUUGGAGGAAAGUGGGUAUUUUGUGUGAAGCUCAUAAGUGAAAGCUUGGAAGUAGAAAAUACUCAAAUCCUGCAUGGGGCUAGCAGCUCAGAAAUACAGAGACUGUUAUGGAUAAUUUGGUUGUGGUGGUUUUCUUUCUGGCACAUUUGCUAAGUUUUCAAAUGGGCCUGACUCUGCCACAUAUAUUAUACAGGAGCUGGCAAGGGCUUGAUGACAAAGAGAUCUUUCUAGCCUUUCCUGCAACCGAGAUGGGCUCCCACAUGUGGCAAGCUAUCUCAUAAGUUUAAGUCCUUACAGACAGGCUGACAUAGACCUGUCUGACCUGAGGAGAAUCUCUGCUGAGGGGUGCUUCUCCACCCCUGUGAUGGAUUUGCUACUUCUCAGGGACUGUGCAGGAGGCCUGACCUCUCUGGGACCUGUGGGAAGAUGAUAUUCCAGGAGAAGUAAAG